UCUCUGCAGAAGGAACCUGACAACUGGU
rnacentral:piRNA from 1 species